UAUCUUUAAUUCUAAAUUACUAUUACUCUAAAUCUAAAUUACAAAAUACUAUUCACUAUUCAAAUAUCUAUAUUUUCCUUUUCAAUUUAAAUGAAACUUUUAAAAUGAAAGAAAAUUUUCAAUUAAAUUGAAAUUCUUUUUUUAUUUAUUUUUUUAUUUAUAUUUAAUAUUAAUUUUAUUUAAUAUUAAUUUUAAUCUUUUUAUUUAAUAAUAUUAAUAUUUUUAUUUAAUAAUAUUAAUAUUCAUUUUUUAUUUAAUAUUUAAAUAUUUAUUUAAAUUUAAAAUGAAAUAUUCAUUUUAUUAAUUUUAAAUAUUAAUUAUUUAGGAAUUAAGAUUAACGAAUUAAC
rnacentral:lncRNA from 1 species